rnacentral:lncRNA from 1 species
AGGGAAGCUCCGCGUCCUCGUUCUGGGGUGCACCCAGUCCUUUCGUGGGAUAGAGCCUUCGCGUAAUCCGUCUGCGACUCCUCCCUUCCCAUUUUGGCUGCUGGCUGACCUGAAAGCCACGCCCAACCUGUCCCCAUAGCCCAGCGUGUACCGGCAGUGGCUCCGCCGCCUUGGAUGUCACCGUGCAGUCGCACAGCCAGGAGUCAAGCUACAGGGAUGUAGCUCUCCGCCCGCUGCGUCUUGCUGUUCUAACAGAGGCUGUAUGAAAACUUGGUAAUCCUAGAAACUGCUCAGAUGGACCUCGCAUAAAAGAAGCCUCACAAGGUUCCGUUGGAAGGGGAAGUUUCCCAUGAUUGUAUCUGCAGACGGAUUCCUAACUGCGUAAUGGGCGCUACUGGUUUGCACCCCAAGGCGAAGGCGCUGAAAAUGCUCCUGUCACCUUAGAUCUCAGUGAUGAACGACAGGAGGAGGAGUAGACACUAACGUUGCAACAGUAGAUGCCUUUUCUUCUGCCUCUGUGACAGGUUUUCAGAAGUGGAAAGGACCGCAUUUAGACACUAGCCAAACCAUGAGGCCCUGCUUGAGUGAUUGUGGUUGGGUAUGUGAGCGCGCCCUGCGGUAGGAUGGCUUCCUGAAGAGAGCUGGUUUACACCUCAUGCCCUGAGCUCCUGGUGUAGGAUCUGGCCACCUGUGAUCCUGAACUGGAGUAAGGAGUUUUCAAUAACCUAUGGACACCGUUGAGGACUCAUUGAAUGUGGCUAUAAGUGUGGUCAAGUAAUGAAAACUGAUCAGCUGAGGGAGGAAAAAGACAAAAGUGGAUGACCAAAAUGAAGCUCCAGAAUCUUUCGAGGACUGCCUAUGUUUCCUGUUUUGGAUUAGGAAAAUGUGGCACAUAUACACCAUGGAAUACUACACAGCCAUAAAAAAUGAUGAGUUCAUGUCCUUUGUAGGGACAUGGAUGAAACUGGAAACCAUCAUUCUCAGCGAACUAUCGCAAGGAUAAAAAACCAAACACCGCAUGUUCUCACUCAUAGGUGGGAACCGAACAAUGAGAACACGUGGACACAGGAAGGGGAACAUCACACUCCGGGGACUGUUGUGGGGUGGGGGUAGGGGGGAGGGAUAGCCUUAGGAGAUAUACCUAAUGCUAAUGAUGAGUUAAUGGGUGCAGCACACCAACAUGGCACAUGUAUACAUAUGUAACAAACCUGCACAUUGUGCACAUGUACCCUAAAACUUAAAGUAUAAUAAUAAUAAAAUGUAAAAAAUUAAUUAAUUAAUUAAAAAAUAAACAACAAAUUUAAAAAAAAAAAAGAGAUACC